AUACACCAUUCAAUAGUGUAUUAUUGAAAGUCAUCUUCGCGAUAAAAGUGUUUACUUACUCCACUGGUGGAGUGAAGAGUCGUGAACGUCGCAGGUUUUUAAACCGUGAAGAUUAUUUCGUUGAAGACCGGAUUGGCGUCCGAGUGUCCGAGUCCAAACCCAGUGUGUUUCUUUCCACGUCGAUAUCUGGCCGGGUCUUUCGUUUGGAUCGAUUCUUGCUGUUCAAGUGAAUUCAGCUGCUGUGCGAUCGCCUUCAAGCACCGUGAAGGCGAACCCCAACAGCUGUGGCGAGCCUGGCCUUCAGAUAAGAACUGUUGAUAUAACUG